GACGAACGCUGGCGGCGUGCCUAAUACAUGCAAGUUGAGCGCUGAAGGUUGGUACUUGUACCAACUGGAUGAGCAGCGAACGGGUGAGUAACGCGUGGGGAAUCUGCCUUUGAGCGGGGGACAACAUUUGGAAACGAAUGCUAAUACCGCAUAAAAACUUUAAACACAAGUUUUAAGUUUGAAAGAUGCAAUUGCAUCACUCAAAGAUGAUCCCGCGUUGUAUUAGCUAGUUGGUGAGGUAAAGGCUCACCAAGGCGAUGAUACAUAGCCGACCUGAGAGGGUGAUCGGCCACAUUGGGACUGAGACACGGCCCAAACUCCUACGGGAGGCAGCAGUAGGGAAGCUUCGGCAAUGGACGAAAGUCUGACCGAGCAACGCCGCGGGAGUGAAGAAGGGUGUCGGAUCGUAAAACUCUGUUGGUAGAGAAGAAAGUUGGUGAGAGUGGAAAGCUCAUCAAGUGACGGUAACUACCCAGAAAGGGACGGCUAACUACGUG
rnacentral:rRNA from 1 species